UGGGGAAUAUUGCGCAAUGGGCGAAAGCCUGACGCAGCGACGCCGCGUGAGGGAAGACGGUCCUAUGGAUUGUAAACCUCUUUUGCAGGGGAGCAAGACGCGGUACGUGUACCGUGCUGGAGAGUACCCUGAGAAAAAGCAUCGGCUAACUCCGUGCCAGCAGCCGCGGUAAUACGGAGGAUGCGAGCGUUAUCCGGAUUUAUUGGGUUUAAAGGGUGCGUAGGCGGACUGGUAAGUCAGUGGUAAAAAUGCGGUGCUCAACGCCGUAGUGCCGUUGAAACUGCCGGUCUUGAGUGAGCGAGAAGUAUGCGGAAUGCGUGGUGUAGCGGUGAAAUGCAUAGAUAUCACGCAGAACUCCGAUUGCGAAGGCAGCAUACCGGCGCUCAACUGACGCUGAGGCACGAAAGCGUGGGGGAUCGAACAGGAUUAGAUACC
rnacentral:rRNA from 1 species